UUCAUGCCGACCAAGUCUGGGAGUCUCAGCUGAGCCUCCAGAGCCUCCUUGGCUGCUGUCAUUAUUCCGUGGAGUGGCCGCACUGUCCUCACCUGCCUCGAGGCUCUGGCGCCAGCCAGACUACAUCCCUGGUACCCUCUGCCUGCAGCCCUCCAUCUCAGUGCCCUGUCCUCCCCUCCCCCAACCCCUCUGGCUUGGAGUCCACAGAAGGGACAGGAACAGCAAGAGUCACCCACAAGGCCCCCGUCCAUCAUUUGUGGGCUGCAUGGCACGCAGGCUUUACCUCGGCUGUUUGGGUCUCAGUAGUUUUCAUCACUGAGAGAGACAGUUUGCAGGCCAGGGCAGAGCAAUUUAAUAAAGUCUUUAAUAAACUCUCUGGCAGAGGCAGCCGGGAAUCUGCGGAGACCAGGACAUAAAGAGGAGCCAGGGAUCUGUGGCGACUGCAUGGAGCAACGGCAGCUGUCAGCACGCGGCCACCAGGGAUGGAGACUCCACCGCUCUAGAUGUUCCAGCUCAACGUCCACUGUCUGAACAGGAGACCGCUGUGCAGAAGUCUGGAAGGGACACUUGGAACGUGGAAGUAACCAGAACUAAUCAUCAAUUGACCUGGUUGGCAGAAGUGUGGAUUGAGAUGCCCCUCUGUGACUGAGCUGGAAAUGUCUGAUGUGCCAAGGACCAAAGCUGGAGUGAGAUUCACCCAGUAAGACAUACUCUACACACCAGGAUCCAGAUGUAUUGUGUGGGUUAAUUGUCAACUUUACAGAGUCUAGAAUCACCCAGAUGUGUCUCUGAGCAUGCAUGUGGGGAAUUACCUUAACUCUGUGAACUGAGGAGGAGAGACCUGCCCACUGUGGGUGGAACCAUUCCCUGAAUUCUGUGAUCCUGGACUGUAUAAAUGGAGAGAGGGAGCUGGGCAACAGGAUGCAUCCAUCCCUCUCUGCUUCCCAAUGGCUGAUGUAAAGCUCCUGCUGCCUCAACUUCUCUGCCAUGAUGGACUGUAUCCCUGAACCAUGAGCUGAAAUAAAUCCCUUUUCUCUCAGAAA